UACAGCACCACCGCAAACAACUGAGGAAAGGAGCAAAACGUCUCCGUGGUCUCAUCUCCGGAGAACAAGGAGCCUGAAUCCAUACUGAUCUGCUCUGCUUCAAGUGCUGCAAAUCUGGCACAACAAAGCAGGAGGAUGUCGUCAAGUGUCCUCGGGGUCCCGUCCUUCAGUGCUGUGCAGUUCAGUGAUAAGACUGGUGAUAACAUCUGGCCAAAGGAUCAAGAACCAAAGAGGGACAAAUCAUGCCAGGUGCAGGUUUCGUGAGAAAAGAGGGCGACCAGAGGGAAAGAGACGGAACAUCAAAAUGCAAGAUCACAUCCAGCCUGUGGGCCUCGGCGUCAGGCGGGACGUGUUUCUGAGCAGAAGACAUCCGCCGCCGGCGGACGGGAAUGUAUGACGUAGAAGGAAAGGCGCUGAGCGGGGAAGCUACGCAUGCUUUGCAUUUCUUGAGGAGCGACACACAUCUUGAUAAAGCAUAUCAUCUUUAUAAAGUUUAGGUGGUCAACCGUGAAGAAGAAGAAGAAACGUGAAGGUUUUGACUUUAAAACUAUUAUUGUACCUUAUUUCUGAACGGUUCCCAUCAGGGAAUUUCUUUAUAAAUAUACAAAACAAAUGAGAUGCAGGUAAUUUUCUUAAUGUAGAGCUAUCCAAAUGCUAAGCAUGUAAAUUUGAUUGUUUUAGUAACUUUAAUGUAGUGCACUGUGCUGCUGUAUUAUCUCGGUAAAUACAAGUAUUGGAUUGGAGCAGGCGGAUUAUCAAUUUUAAAUGAUGGGGGCAUUUUUUUGCUUAAGUUAAAGUGUAGAGACAGA
ensembl:lncRNA